AGGAUAAUAGUGGCAUGCACCACUGGGGGUACAAUGAAGCCAUCCCAAAAUCUCCAUGAAGGUCAACAGUCAAGGUCACUCAUAGCAGCCUACUUGCUGGUGCUCAAUGGGUACAAAAAUGUUUUCCACUUAGAAGGGGGUCUUUACACAUGGUUCAAAGAACUGCCAUCGGAAUCCGGAGAGUGAUAUAUGGAUUGAUUAGAUGGUGCUUCCAUUGAAGCUCAAGUUUUGUCCCCAAGACUGAUUUCUCCCCUUUUCCUUUAGGUUUUGAAUGUGAUUUCUCUUUAGACAUUUUAAUGGUACCAAGAACCUUGUAUCUUAUCAUCUUAAGUUUCAUGUAUGACAUUUUUUCUAUUAAUUUUCAAUGUGAAAAUUAAUCAAACUCUA